AGAGUUUGAUCCUGGCUCAGGACGAACGCUGGCGGCACGCUUAACACAUGCAAGUCGAACGAGAGAAGAGGAGCUUGCUUUUCUGAUCUAGUGGCGGACGGGUGAGUAACACGUGAGCAAUCUGCCUUUCAGAGGGGGAUACCGAUUGGAAACGAUCGUUAAUACCGCAUAACAUAAUUGAACCGCAUGAUUUGAUUAUCAAAGAUUUAUCGCUGAAAGAUGAGCUCGCGUCUGAUUAGCUAGUUGGUAAGGUAACGGCUUACCAAGGCGACGAUCAGUAGCCGGACUGAGAGGUUGAUCGGCCACAUUGGGACUGAGACACGGCCCAGACUCCUACGGGAGGCAGCAGUGGGGAAUAUUGCACAAUGGAGGAAACUCUGAUGCAGCGAUGCCGCGUGAGGGAAGAAGGUUUUAGGAUUGUAAACCUCUGUCUUCAGGGACGAAAAAUGACGGUACCUGAGGAGGAAGCUCCGGCUAACUACGUGCCAGCAGCCGCGGUAAUACGUAGGGAGCGAGCGUUGUCCGGAAUUACUGGGUGUAAAGGGAGCGUAGGCGGGAUCGCAAGUCAGAUGUGAAAACUAUGGGCUUAACCCAUAAACUGCAUUUGAAACUGUGGUUCUUGAGUGAAGUAGAGGUAAGCGGAAUUCCUAGUGUAGCGGUGAAAUGCGUAGAUAUUAGGAGGAACAUCAGUGGCGAAGGCGGCUUACUGGGCUUUAACUGACGCUGAGGCUCGAAAGCGUGGGGAGCAAACAGGAUUAGAUACCCUGGUAGUCCACGCCGUAAACG
rnacentral:rRNA from 1 species